rnacentral:rRNA from 1 species
GGGUUGUGAGGUUAAGCGACCAAGCGUACACGGUGGAUGCCCUGGCAGUCAGAGGCGAUGAAGGACGUGCUAAUCUGCGAAAAGCGCCGGUAAGGUGAUAUGAACCGUUAUAACCGGCGAUGUCCGAAUGGGGAAACCCAGUGUGACUCGUCACACUAUCAUUAACUGAAUCCAUAGGUUAAUGAGGCGAACCGGGGGAACUGAAACAUCUAAGUACCCCGAGGAAAAGAAAUCAACCGAGAUUCCCCCAGUAGCGGCGAGCGAACGGGGAGGAGCCCAGAGCCUGAAUCAGCAUGUGUGUUAGUGGAAGCGUCUGGAAAGGCGCGCGAUACAGGGUGACAGCCCCGUACACAAAAGCGCAUGUGCUGUGAGCUCGAUGAGUAGGGCGGGACACGUGGUAUCCUGUCUGAAUAUGGGGGGACCAUCCUCCAAGGCUAAAUACUCCUGACUGACCGAUAGUGAACCAGUACCGUGAGGGAAAGGCGAAAAGAACCCCGGCGAGGGGAGUGAAACAGAACCUGAAACCGUGUACGUACAAGCAGUGGGAGCAUGAGUUUACUCA